GAGUUUGAUCCAGGCUCAGGACGAACGCUGGCGGCGUGCCUAACACAUGCAAGUCGAGCGAGGAGAUUCCCUUCGGGGAUGAACCUAGCGGCGGACGGGUGAGUAACACGUGGGCAACCUGCCUUAUAGAGGGGAAUAGCCUUCCGAAAGGAAGAUUAAUACCGCAUAACAUUACAUUUUCGCAUGAAGAAGUAAUUAAAGGAGUAAUCCGCUAUAAGAUGGGCCCGCGGCGCAUUAGCUAGUUGGUGAGGUAACGGCUCACCAAGGCGACGAUGCGUAGCCGACCUGAGAGGGUGAUCGGCCACAUUGGGACUGAGACACGGCCCAGACUCUUACGGGAGGCAGCAGUGGGGAAUAUUGCACAAUGGGGGAAACCCUGAUGCAGCAACGCCGCGUGAGUGAUGAAGGUCUUCGGAUCGUAAAGCUCUGUCUUCAGGGACGAUAAUGACGGUACCUGAGGAGGAAGCCACGGCUAACUACGUGCCAGCAGCCGCGGUAAUAC
rnacentral:rRNA from 1 species